UACGAAGGGGGCUAGCGUUGCUCGGAAUCACUGGGCGUAAAGGGUGCGUAGGCGGGUCUUUAAGUCAGGGGUGAAAUCCUGGAGCUCAACUCCAGAACUGCCUUUGAUACUGGAGGAUCUUGAGUUCGGGAGAGGUGAGUGGAACUGCGAGUGUAGAGGCGAAAUUCGUAGAUAUUCGCAAGAACACCAGUGGCGAAGGCGGCUCACUGGCCCGGUACUGACGCUGAGGUGCGAAAGCGUGGGGAGCAAACAGGG
rnacentral:rRNA from 1 species